CGCGGGCCGGGCGCGGGCUCGCCUCCCCUCCGCGCGCCGUCCCGAGUGGGAGCGCCCGGGCCGCUGACUCAGGGUCCUGUGGCUGAGCAAUUCAGACAGGGCACAGUGGGGACCGCUUGUCUCUGUUCUACAGUGUUUGGGUCAUCAGCCGGGAGGCGACUCAACGGCUGGGGCUGGAAUCAUCGAGAGGUGACGUCACUUCCACCUGUGUCGGAUGACACUGCCCGUCAGCCAGAGCCCCUCCAUGUGGCCUGGGCUUCCUUGUAGCAUGGCAGCCGGCUUCCGAGAGCGAGCGUCCCAAGAGAACCUGGCGGAAGCUUCAUGGCCUUUUCCAGUCUGGUCUUGGGGGUCAUACAGCAUCAUUUCUGCAGUGUUCUGUCUGCAGGAGCUGUCACAACACCCUCCCCACCAAGGGAAGGGACAGAGGCUCCAUCUCACGAUGGGAGGAGGAGCGUGGUUCUAAAAGAGCUUGUCCCCACCGGGGAGAUACCAUUGUGACCAUCUUUGGAAGACACCUCUGCAGUAGGAGGUGACCCCAGGAAGUUCUGGGGAAUGGAGAAAUGCUGUUAAAGGGUACACUGCUGAGUCGGUUGACCUGGUGGACAACCGAGGCUCACUCCUGCUGGGGACUCAAGAAGCCAUACAGUUCUGAUGCGUGAGACCCCAUGCAUCAGAGUCAUGCAUCAGAGUUCUCCCUCUAAGGGAUGGGGGCUGCAUAUUUAUUCCCUAGUUGAGGGUGGCCUGAGGAUGUUAAAUCGCUGCCCUUUCUGGGCUGCUCUGGACUCGGACCGAGCGAGCCUCUGAGCACUCGCUGAUGACGCUGCCUCCCUGUGGUGACCCCAGAGGGGGCCCAAGGGAAUAAGGGGCAAGACGUCAAUAAAUGCCUUGUCUGUCCAAACCAGCCGGCGUCCGUGUUUGUUGUUCGCAGCUGAAGGCCCUCACCGCCUGCUCUCCCCAUCCUGCUCCCCGGGCUCCCUGCUCCUCCCCUUCUCUUUCAUUUUUGGCAAAGAAUCUGGUGCAUCAGGCAUUCGAGAAUGCGGAGGAGUUUCCUGGCUGCUUGGGGAGACGAAAGGAUUACUGUGCCACAGAG
rnacentral:lncRNA from 1 species